CGGACGGGUGAGUAAUGCUUGGGAAUCUGUCUUAUGGAGGGGGAUAACGACGGGAAACUGUCGCUAAUACCGCGUAGAAUCGGGAGAUGAAAGUGUGGGACCUUCGGGCCACAUGCCAUAGGAUGAGCCCAAGUGUGAUUAGGUAGUUGGUGGGGUAAAGGCCUACCAAGCCGACGAUCGCUAGCUGGUCUGAGAGGAUGGCCAGCCACACCGGGACUGAGACACGGCCCGGACUCCUACGGGAGGCAGCAGUGGGGAAUAUUGCGCAAUGGGGGCAACCCUGACGCAGCCAUGCCGCGUGAAUGAAGAAGGCCUUCGGGUUGUAAAGUUCUUUCGGUGAUGAGGAAGGUUGGUGUGUUAAUAGCAUGCCAAAUUGACGUUAAAUACAGAAGAAGCACCGGCUAACUCCGUGCCAGCAGCCGCGGUAAUACGGGGGGUGCGAGCGUUAAUCGGAAUAACUGGGCGUAAAGGGCACGUAGGCGGACCUUUAAGUGAGGUGUGAAAUCCCCGGGCUUAACCUGGGAAUUGCAUUUCAUACUGGGGGUCUGGAGUACUUUAGGGAGGGGUAGAAUUCCACGUGUAGCGGUGAAAUGCGUAGAGAUGUGGAGGAAUACCGAAGGCGAAGGCAGCCCCUUGGGGAUGUACUGACGCUGAUGUGCGAAAGCGUGGGGAGCAAACAGGAUUAGAUACCCUGGUAGUCCACGCUGUAAACGGUGUCGAUUUGGGGAUUGGGGUUUAGCCCUGGUGCCCGAAGCUAACGUGAUAAAUCGACCGCCUGGGGAGUACGGCCGCAAGGUUAAAACUCAAAUGAAUUGACGGGGGCCCGCACAAGCGGUGGAGCAUGUGGUUUAAUUCGAUGCAACGCGAAGAACCUUACCUACUCUUGACAUCCGAAGAAGAACUCAGAGAUGGGUUUGUGCCUUAGGGAGCUUUGAGACAGGUGCUGCAUGGCUGUCGUCAGCUCGUGUUGUGAAAUGUUGGGUUAAGUCCCGCAACGAGCGCAACCCUUAUCCUUUGUUGCCAGCGACUUGGUCGGGAACUCAAAGGAGACUGCCGGUGAUAAACCGGAGGAAGGUGGGGAUGACGUCAAGUCAUCAUGGCCCUUACGAGUAGGGCUACACACGUGCUACAAUGGCGUAUACAGAGGGUAACCAACCAGCGAUGGGGAGUGAAUCUCAGAAAGUACGU
rnacentral:rRNA from 1 species